UGAAACUUCGUGUUAAUCCAGUAUCGUAAA
rnacentral:piRNA from 1 species